rnacentral:rRNA from 1 species
GACGAACGCUGGCGGCGUGCCUAACACAUGCAAGUCGAACGGAGAUGUUGAUUUCGGUUGACGUCUUAGUGGCGAACGGGUGAGUAACGCGUGAACAAUCUGACCUUAAGAGGGGGAUAACAACGAGAAAUCGUUGCUAAUACCGCAUAAGACCACAAUGCCGCAUGGCGAAGGGGUCAAAGGAGCAAUCCGCUUAAGGAGGGGUUCGCGUCCCAUUAGGUAGUAGGUGAGGUAACGGCCCACCUAGGCGACGAUGGGUAGCCGAGCUGAGAGGCUGAUCGGCCACACUGGAACUGAGACACGGUCCAGACUCCUACGGGAGGCAGCAGUGGGGAAUAUUGGGCAAUGGGCGCAAGCCUGACCCAGCAACGCCGCGUGAGGGAAGAAGGUUUUCGGAUUGUAAACCUCUGUCGCAGAUGACGAAACAAAUGACGGUAAUCUGUGAGGAAGCCCCGGCUAACUACGUGCCAGCAGCCGCCGCAGUAA